AGGGGGAGUAACAUCCGGAAACGGGUGCUAAUACCGCAUAGUUUCUUGAUCGCAUGAUUGAGAAGGAAAGAUGGCCUUUGUGCUGUCGCUUAUGGAUGGACCCGCGGCGUAUUAGUUAGUUGGUGAGGUAACGGCUCACCAAGACGAUGAUACGUAGCCGACCUGAGAGGGUGAUCGGCCACAUUGGGGCUCGAGACACGGCCCAAACUCCUACGGGAGGCAGCAGUAGGGAAUCUUCCGCAAUGGACGAAAGUCUGACGGAGCAACGCCGCGUGAGUGAAGAAGGUUUUCGGAAUCGUAAAACUCUGUUGUCAGAGAAGAACAAGUUGGAGAGUAACUGCUCCAGCCUUGACGGUAUCUGACCAGAAAGCCACGGCUAACUACGUGCCAGCAGCAGC
rnacentral:rRNA from 1 species